CACUCCUACGGGAGGCAGCAGUGGGGAAUAUUGGACAAUGGGCGCAAGCCUGAUCCAGCCAUGCCGCGUGAGUGAUGAAGGCCCUAGGGUUGUAAAGCUCUUUCACCGGUGAAGAUAAUGACGGUAACCGGAGAAGAAGCCCCGGCUAACUUCGUGCCAGCAGCCGCGGUAAUACGAAGGGGGCUAGCGUUGUUCGGAUUUACUGGGCGUAGAGCGCACGUAGGCGGACUAUUAAGUCAGGGGUGAAAUCCCGGGGCUCAACCCCGGAACUGCCUUUGAUACUGGUAGUCUUGAGUUCGAGAGAGGUGAGUGGAAUUCCGAGUGUAGAGGUGAAAUUCGUAGAUAUUCGGAGGAACACCAGUGGCGAAGGCGGCUCACUGGCUCGAUACUGACGCUGAGGUGCGAAAGCGUGGGGAGCAAACAGGAUUAGAAACCCUAGUAGUCCC
rnacentral:rRNA from 1 species